rnacentral:rRNA from 1 species
AACGCUGGCGGCGCGCUUAACACAUGCAAGUCGAGCGAGAACCUGGGCUUCGGCCCUGGGGACAGCGGCGAACGGGUGAGUAACACGUGGGUAAUCUGCCCUCGGCAUCGGGAUAGCCCGGGGAAACCCGGAUUAAUACCGAAUAGCCUCCGGAGCCUUCGGGCGCCGGAGAAGAGGUAGCUUCGGCCUCUGGCCGAGGAUGAGCCCGCGGCGGAUUAGCUUGUUGGCGGGGUAACGGCCCACCAAGGCGACGAUCCGUAGCUGGUCUGAGAGGACGAUCAGCCACACUGGGACUGAGACACGGCCCAGACUCCUACGGGAGGCAGCAGUGGGGAAUCUUGCGCUAAUGCGGGAAACCGUGACGCAGCGACGCCGCGUGAGGGAAGAAGGCCUUCGGGUUGUAAACCUCUUUCAGGAGGGACGAAGCUACUCGGGUGAAUAGCCCAGAGGGUGACGGUACCUCCAGAAGAAGCCCCGGCUAACUACGUGCCAGCCGCCGCAGUAAAAC